rnacentral:rRNA from 1 species
GAUGAACGCUGGCGGCAUGCCUUACACAUGCAAGUCGAACGGUAACAGGUCUUCGGAUGCUGACGAGUGGCGAACGGGUGAGUAAUAUAUCGGAACGUGCCCAGUUGUGGGGGAUAACUACUCGAAAGAGUGGCUAAUACCGCAUACGACCUGAGGGUGAAAGCGGGGGAUCGCAAGACCUCGCGCAAUUGGAGCGGCCGAUAUCAGAUAGGUAGUUGGUGGGGUAAAGGCCCACCAAGCCAACGAUCUGUAGCUGGUCUGAGAGGACGACCAGCCAGACUGGGACUGUGACGCGGCCCAGACUCCUACAGGAGGCAGCAGUGAGGAAUUUUGGACAAUGGACGCAAGUCUGAUCCAGCCAUGCCGCGUGCGGGAAGAAGGCCUUCGGGUUGUAAACCGCUUUUGUCAGGGAAGAAACGAGUUUCUCUAAUACAGAGACUUAAUGACGGUACCUGAAGAAUAAGCACCGGCUAACUACGUGCCAGCCGCCGCAGUAACAC